rnacentral:rRNA from 1 species
UACGUAGGGUGCGAGCGUUGUCCGGAAUUACUGGGCGUAAAGAGCUCGUAGGUGGUUUGUCGCGUUGUCCGUGAAAACUCACAACUCAAUUGUGGGCGUGCGGGCGAUACGGGCAGACUGGAGUACUGCAGGGGAGACUGGAAUUCCUGGUGUAGCGGUGGAAUGCGCAGAUAUCAGGAGGAACACCCGUGGCGAAGGCGGCCAGCUGGGCCGUCCCUGACGCUGAGGCGCGCAAGGCGUGGGGAGCGAACGGG